rnacentral:rRNA from 1 species
GAUCCUGGCUCAGGAUGAACGCUGGCGGCGUGCCUAACACAUGCAAGUCGAGCGGAGAUAAGUUGAAGCCUAGCGAUUCUUAUCUUAGCGGCGGAUGGGUGAGUAACACGUGGGCAACCUGCCCUGUACUGGGGGAUAACAGCUGGAAACGGCUGUUAAUACCGCAUAUGCGCACGGAGCCGCAUGGCCCUGGGCGGAAAGAUUCAUCGGUACAGGAUGGGCCCGCGCCGGAUUAACUUGUUGGCGGGGUAACGGCCCACCAAGGUGAUGAUCCGUAGCCGACCUGAGAGGGUGACCGGCCACAUUGGGACUGAGACACGGCCCAAACUCCUACGGGAGGCAGCAGUGGGGGAUAUUGCACAAUGGGGGAAACCCUGAAUGCAGCGACGCCGCGUGAAGGAAGAAGUAUUUCGGUAUGUAAACUUCUAUCAGCGGGGAAGAAGAUGACGGUACCCGCACAAGAAGCCCCGGCUAACUACGUGCCAGCCGCGGC